GACCAGGUGGUGGUGGCAUAUACCUUUAAUCCCAGCACUAGGGAGGCAGAGGCAGAUGGAUCUCUAAAAAGGACCUUUUUUUGAAGUCCCCUGCCCACCUGAAGUUCACAUUCCCUGGAAGACUGACUGGCAGGAAGAAAGAUUAAGAGUUGAUGCCACACCCAGAGAACAGACUUGCUAUUUCCAUGCAACAAUGUUAAUUAUGGUGAUAAAGUACUGGAGAGAAUGACUAGAAGCAGAGCCAAUGGUACCAUGGAGACAGCACUACAGAAUGGAAAAGUCUUGAGUCCAUUGUGUCCUGCCACCCUGCCUUAAGACAAGUAGAUUCCUGAGCCACACGGAAGUAUUUCUGCCUUUGCUGAAGACAACCCAGGAAACGUUCAACAGCUCCCUACAAAUAAGUCACCCCACAAUUCAUCAAGUAGCCUUCUGCAUCACAUUUCUCUUUUCUUUUAUAAACAAAAAUGGGGAGAUAUUGUGAGCCAGUACUUUCUAAAACAAAACCCUGAAGUUUAUAUUUGGAAGGAAGUGGAUAAAGAGUGAGCA